rnacentral:rRNA from 1 species
GACGAACGCUGGCGGCGUGCUUAACACAUGCAAGUCGAGCGGAAAGGCCCUUCGGGGUACUCGAGCGGCGAACGGGUGAGUAACACGUGAGUAACCUGCCCCAGACUUUGGGAUAACCCUCGGAAACGGGGGCUAAUACCGGAUACGACACAGCUUCGCAUGGGGUCUGUGUGGAAAGUUUUUCGGUUUGGGAUGGGCUCGCGGCCUAUCAGCUUGUUGGUGGGGUGAUGGCCUACCAAGGCGACGACGGGUAGCCGGCCUGAGAGGGCGACCGGCCACACUGGGACUGAGACACGGCCCAGACUCCUACGGGAGGCAGCAGUGGGGAAUAUUGCACAAUGGGCGUAAGCCUGAUGCAGCGACGCCGCGUGAGGGAUGACGGCCUUCGGGUUGUAAACCUCUUUCAGCAGGGACGAAGCGUAAGUGACGGUACCUGCAGAAGAAGCGCCGGCCAACUACGUG